GACGAACCGUGCGAACGUUGUUCGGAAUCACUGGGCUUAAAGGGCGCGUAGGCGGGCUGCCAAGUCUGGGGUGAAAUCCUCCGGCUCAACCGGAGAACGGCCUCGGAUACUGGCGGUCUCGAGGGAGGUAGGGGCGUGCGGAACUAAGGGUGGAGCGGUGAAAUGCGUUGAUAUCCUUAGGAACUCCGGUGGCGAAGGCGACUUCCUGGCCUGUUCUUGACGCUGAGGCGCGAAAGCUAGGGGAGCAAACGGG
rnacentral:rRNA from 1 species